rnacentral:tRNA from 3 species
CGGGUGUAGCUCAAUGGUAGAGCCCCAGCCUUCCAAGCUGGUUGCGUGGGUCCGAUUCCCAUCACCC